rnacentral:rRNA from 1 species
GACAGAGGUGCCAAGCGUUAGGCGGAAUCACUGGGCUUAAAGCGUGUGUAGGCGGAUUCCUAAGUACCUUGUGAAAUCCCACGGCUCAACCGUGGAACUGCUCGGUAUACUGGGUGUCUUGAGCCACUUAGGGGCGACCGGAACAAAUGGUGGAGCGGUGAAAUGCGCAGAUAUCAGGAGGAACACCAGCGGCGAAGGCGCCGCUCUGGGCCGUAACUGACGCUGAGGAGCGAAAGCAUGGGUAGCAAACAGG